rnacentral:rRNA from 1 species
CGCGUGGGAACGUGCCUUCUGGUCUGGAAUAACCCUGGGAAACUAGGGCUAAUACCGGAUACGCCCUUUUGGGGAAAGGUUUACUGCCGGAAGAUCGGCCCGCGUCUGAUUAGCUAGUUGGUGGGGUAACGGCCUACCAAGGCGACGAUCAGUAGCUGGUUUGAGAGGAUGAUCAGCCACACUGGAACUGAGACACGGUCCAGACUCCUACGGGAGGCGGCAGUGGGGAAUAUUGCACAAUGGGCGCAAGCCUGAUGCAGCCAUGCCGCGUGUGUGAAGAAGGCCCUAGGGUUGUAAAGC